GGGUCUGUCACUGGCGCGCGUUUCCAAUCGUCGACUGGGCCGCUGGAUUGAAACACCGCGGUCGCCGUAUUGAUGCGGGUUCGAAUCCCGCCGUGUCCACCA
rnacentral:tRNA from 1 species